rnacentral:rRNA from 2 species
GCAGUCGAACGAACUCUGGUAUUGAUUGGUGCUUGCAUCAUGAUUUACAUUUGAGUGAGUGGCGAACUGGUGAGUAACACGUGGGAAACCUGCCCAGAAGCGGGGGAUAACACCUGGAAACAGAUGCUAAUACCGCAUAACAACUUGGACCGCAUGGUCCGAGUUUGAAAGAUGGCUUCGGCUAUCACUUUUGGAUGGUCCCGCGGCGUAUUAGCUAGAUGGUGGGGUAACGGCUCACCAUGGCAAUGAUACGUAGCCGACCUGAGAGGGUAAUCGGCCACAUUGGGACUGAGACACGGCCCAAACUCCUACGGGAGGCAGCAGUAGGGAAUCUUCCACAAUGGACGAAAGUCUGAUGGAGCAACGCCGCGUGAGUGAAGAAGGGUUUCGGCUCGUAAAACUCUGUUGUUAAAGAAGAACAUAUCUGAGAGUAACUGUUCAGGUAUUGACGGUAUUUAACCAGAAAGCCACGGCUAACUACGUGCCAGCAGCCGCGGUAAUACGUAGGUGGCAAGCGUUGUCCGGAUUUAUUGGGCGUAAAGCGAGCGCAGGCGGUUUUUUAAGUCUGAUGUGAAAGCCUUCGGCUCAACCGAAGAAGUGCAUCGGAAACUGGGAAACUUGAGUGCAGAAGAGGACAGUGGAACUCCAUGUGUAGCGGUGAAAUGCGUAGAUAUAUGGAAGAACACCAGUGGCGAAGGCGGCUGUCUGGUCUGUAACUGACGCUGAGGCUCGAAAGUAUGGGUAGCAAACAGGAUUAGAUACCCUGGUAGUCCAUACCGUAAACGAUGAAUGCUAAGUGUUGGAGGGUUUCCGCCCUUCAGUGCUGCAGCUAACGCAUUAAGCAUUCCGCCUGGGGAGUACGGCCGCAAGGCUGAAACUCAAAGGAAUUGACGGGGGCCCGCACAAGCGGUGGAGCAUGUGGUUUAAUUCGAAGCUACGCGAAGAACCUUACCAGGUCUUGACAUACUAUGCAAAUCUAAGAGAUUAGACGUUCCCUUCGGGGACAUGGAUACAGGUGGUGCAUGGUUGUCGUCAGCUCGUGUCGUGAGAUGUUGGGUUAAGUCCCGCAACGAGCGCAACCCUUAUUAUCAGUUGCCAGCAUUAAGUUGGGCACUCUGGUGAGACUGCCGGUGACAAACCGGAGGAAGGUGGGGAUGACGUCAAAUCAUCAUGCCCCUUAUGACCUGGGCUACACACGUGCUACAAUGGAUGGUACAACGAGUUGCGAACUCGCGAGAGUAAGCUAAUCUCUUAAAGCCAUUCUCAGUUCGGAUUGUAGGCUGCAACUCGCCUACAUGAAGUCGGAAUCGCUAGUAAUCGCGGAUCAGCAUGCCGCGGUGAAUACGUUCCCGGGCCUUGUACACACCGCCCGUCACACCAUGAGAGUUUGUAACACCCAAAGUCGGUGGGGU